CAGCCGCCGCGGUAAUACGUAGGGUGCAAGCGUUAAUCGGAAUUACUGGGCGUAAAGCGUGCGCAGGCGGUUUGUUAAGACAGAUGUGGAAUCCCCGGGCUCAACCUGGGAACUGCAUUUGUGACUGGCAGGCUAGAGUAUGGCAGAGGGGGGUGGAAUUCCGCGUGUAGCAGUGAAAUGCGUAGAUAUGCGGAGGAACACCGAUGGCGAAGGCAGCCCCCUGGGCCAAUACUGACGCUCAUGCACGAAAGCGUGGGGAGCAAACAGGAUUAGAGACCCCCGUAGUCCCUGUCUCUUAUAA
rnacentral:rRNA from 1 species